rnacentral:rRNA from 1 species
CUACGGGAGGCAGCAGUGGGGAAUCUUGCGCAAUGGGGGCAACCCUGACGCAGCCAUGCCGCGUGCGCGAUGACGGCCCUCGGGUUGUAAAGCGCUUUCAGCGGGGACGACGAUGACGGUACCCGCAGAAGAAGUCACGGCUAACUUCGUGCCAGCAGCCGCGGUAAUACGAAGGUGGCGAAUGUUGCUCGGAUUCACUGGGCGUAAAGCGUCCGUAGGUGGUUUUGUAAGUUAGAGGUGAAAGCCCCGCGCUUAACGUGGGAAUUGUCUUUAAAACUGCAGAACUAGAAGGUAAGAGAGGUUAGUGGAAUACCCGGUGUAGAGGUGAAAUUCGUAGAUAUCGGGUGGAACAUCCAUGGCGAAGGCAGCUAACUGGCUUAUUCUUGACACUGAGGGACGAAAGCGUGGGGAGCAAACAGGAUUAGAUACCCGUGUAGUC